rnacentral:lncRNA from 1 species
UCUAUACAAAUCGAAUGAGAAAUGUGCAAAUAAUUAUUAUAGAUUUCACCCAAGUACUUCUUUACAAAUCGAAUGAGAAAUGUGCAAAUAACCAUUGUAGAUAUCACCCAAGUACGUUACGACUGAAAUACCCAGUUAUUUCAUUGAUUAAAACCACAAGUCCUAAAGACUUGAGCUCAACAUAAAAAAAGAUUAAAGAACCACCAAAUUUUUUGAACAUUUGAUUGCGUCAAAAGGGCCUUUCAUAAAAAAAAUUAAAAAAAAGAAAGGCAAAGAAGAAAUUUAUAUAAGUGCAAACCUCUAAACAAUCAAAUUAGGCCGCACCUCAAAAAUUUCAUUAGAAGAGGUUGUUUUGAUGCUUAAAAAUUCUCAAAUUGACCAUCUCAACCUCAUGAUGCAUGGACAUGAGAAAACAAUGGAUUUCAAGUUUUGAAAAUAGUACAUCUUGUAAUGCAUUUUUAGACCGUCAAUUUUCAAGAUUUUCCAGUUUUCAUAGAUACACU